rnacentral:lncRNA from 1 species
CUCUGAGGCCGUGGCAGGGCACAGAUCAUGAAGAACAGUUGAUCCCAGACCAAAGCCCACAUAGAACUGAGGAUGUGUAAAGGGUAUAUGACUGGCUCACUCCUUGGUUUAAAGCCACUUUAAUCUAGGACGUUGGGGAAACCAGAGAGCAUGUCGAUUCCAUUAAGGAAAGAAGAGAAAUGCUUAUGGAAACAGUACCACCUGCAUAUCCAUUGGCCUCCCCUUCCCGACCUCCACCCUGCUGUUACCCAUCAGUCAUCUGAAAGGAAGAUCCCACAGAGUUGACAGAGUCCUUUACAGAGAAGAUCGUCAUAUGCUCUCCGUAGGUUACCUGUCUAUUUAAGAAGCAAACCUCUCGUCACCUGCUGCGGAGCAUCUCGAUGUUAGAAACCACACCACUAUUUUUAGUGUGUGUCCUUGUGCUUCUGCACGAUGAGUCAGGGUUCUCUUUUUAAAAAUACUUGGCAUUCCUCAGAAGAAAGAUAAACACAUUUAAUGUUCUCAGUUGCUACUAUUCUAAUCACCAAGUCAAGAGUUGCUUCUUUUCUUAGCUGCCUCCAGUGCCACAGAACUAUCUGGGCCUCUUCCUCUACCCCGCCUCGUGUGAUCACUCCUUUCAAAAGCAGCAGCCAAAGCAGAUGCGAGGGAGAUGCACUGGUGCUCAUAAAUUCAAGGAGCUAAAAUGGCAACAGCUGUGGCAAUUUCAGGAUUUCAGCAGGUAAUCAAGUGCAAACUGGGGUGCUGUCAAGCAACCUGGUGCUGAGGGGGCAGAGCCAGGAUGGACCCGGAUUCUGGAUUUCCACCAUGUGCCUGGUGGAUACCAUGCGGAUGUGGAGCAGGCAAUGCUGGGUGCAAAUCCCCGCCAGGAACUGUUCAUCCUGAAAAAAACCUGCUGCACAUUGCCCUGGUCACCUCAACGAAAACCUUCAGCAUCUUGGGCUCCUCAACACGCUGGGCUUGCAUGAUCCGCACCACACUGUUUAUCUUACUCUUGACUACUUCUGCUGUGAGCCCUGGAUUCAAGUGUUCCACAUGCCCUCUCACCGCUACGUUUGGAUGAUUUUAAAGAGAUUUCUGUUUCAAAGAAAUGUAGGAAGAAGAACUUCACAGCCCCUUCGGUUGCAAUCUUACUUGGUGGUUAAGGUGAAUAUAACUUAGAUUGUGCAUAUCAUUAUUAGGGGAAUCUUCACUAACCUACGGAAGCAAUAAAGAAAUUGUAUCACACUGUCUUGAGCUUCUC